AAAAACUGAGUUUUUCAGGGAAAUGAAUGAGUCACAGCACAUCAUCCACAGCCUGAGAAAAAUGCCUGAUUUAGUCACCACAGGUAACAUGUGGCUGUAAGUGAACAGAUCCAGAAGGGUUCCCACCACUGCCCAGAGGAAGGGCACACUCAGUGGCUGUCACUGGGCCUCCUGCUGCAGUUGGAGCUGGGCCUCCUGCUGCCAUCCCCUGCCCCAGUGUGGAUAGCUCCAUUCUGAAGAGCAAAGCUCCAUUGCACACUCACACCUCUGUCUGUUUUCCUGUAGAUGUCUGUGAUUUAAUCACCUGUAGACAAGAACCUCUAAGCUGCUUUGUUUAAAAAAUACUACGUAAAAAAAAGGUGAAAUCCUUAAGCCUUUUCUACAAGGCAUCUUACAAUGCCUUCCCUUAUUAUUGUAUACUCAGCACAAGCACCAGCAGGUAUCGGACUUGACAUGGUUCUGAGAUGAUGGCUGUUUACGAGGGUGGAUAAGAGGGAAUGGUUUUCAACUGAGACAGGGGAGGUUUAGGUUGGAGAUGAGGAGGAAGUUUUUCCCCCACAGGGUGGUGACGCACUGAACAGGUUGCCCAAGGAGGCUGUGGAUGCCCCAUCCCUGCAGGCAUUCAAGGCCAGGCUGGAUGUGGCUCUGGGCAGCCUGGUCUGGUGAUUGGCAACCCUGCACAUAGCAGGGGGUUGGAACUGGAUGCGCAUUGUGGUCCUUUUCAACCCAGGCCAUUCUAUGGUUCUAUGAUUCCCAUUCCAGAACAGAAGAAGGCAGCUACUGCUUCUAGUGCCCACCCAGCCCAGUGCCUGCCCAGCAGUGGUGAUACCAGAUACAGGAGCACCCACUCCUGUAUCAGCCCUGCAUGCUGUCUGCACCACCCGCAGUGCCAUGGUGUGAGGAGGGCUCCCAGGGCAGCAGUUGCUCUCCCGUGGGUGACACAGCAAGGAGUACUGGCACAGCCUCAGGAGCAAUGCCUGGGCAGGGUUUGUCCAACAGA
rnacentral:lncRNA from 1 species